rnacentral:snRNA from 1 species
UAAAUAUAUAAAACGUCAUUUA